GACGAACGCUGGCGGCGUGCUUAACACAUGCAAGUCGAACGGAAAGGCCUGCUUUCCCUUGUGGAUUGCGGGUACUCGAGUGGCGAACGGGUGAGUAACACGUGAGUGAUCUGCCCCCAACUUGGGUAUAAGCCUGGGAAACUGGGUCUAAUUCCCGAUAGGACUGCAGGGUGGUGCCUGUGGUGGAAAACGAUUUUCUAGUGGUUGGGGAUGAGCUCGCGGCCUAUCAGCUUGUUGGUGGGGUAAUGGCCUACCAAGGCGGCGACGGGUAGCCGGCCUGAGAGGGUGGACGGACACAUUGGGACUGAGAUACGGCCCAGACUCCUACGGGAGGCAGCAGUGGGGAAUAUUGCACAAUGGGCGGAAGCCUGAUGCAGCGAUGCCGCGUGGGGGAUGACGGCCUUCGGGUUGUAAACUCCUUUCGACCGCGAGGAAGCCACCUGGUUGGAAGGGUGGUGACGGUAGUGGUAGAAGAAGCACCGGCUAACUACGUG
rnacentral:rRNA from 1 species